ensembl:lncRNA
CUGUGAUACGUACCGGGAGCUAUGAUACGUACCGGAGGCUGUGAUACGUACCGGGAGCUAUGAUACGUACCGGAGGCUGUGAUACGUACCGGGAACUAUGAUACGUACCGGAGUCUGUGAUACGUACAGGAGGCUGUGAUACGUACAGGAGGCUGUGAUACGUACAGGAGGCUGUGAUACAUACAGGAGGCUGUAAUACGUACAGGAGGCUGUAAUACGUACAGUAGGCUGUAAUAUGUACAGGAGGCUGUAAUACAUACAGGAGGCUGUAAUACAUACAGGAGGCUGUAAUACGUACAGGAGGCUGUAAUACGUACAGGAGG